UGGGGUAGGACAACCCGCUAGACUUAA
rnacentral:rRNA from 1 species